rnacentral:rRNA from 1 species
GGAGAAAUUCCAAACGAACUGGGAGAUAGCUGGUUCUCUCCGAAAUAGCUUUAGGGCUAGCGUCGAAAUGUAAGUGUAUUGGAGGUAGAGCACUGUUUGGGUGAGGGGUCCGUCUAGGAUUACCAAUCUCAGAUAAACUCCGAAUGCUAAUACACAUGUUCGGCAGUCAGACUGCGAGUGCUAAGAUCCGUAGUCGAAAGGGAAACAGGCACGAUGGGCACUCUUGCCCAUGCUGCAG